UGGGGAAUAUUGCACAAUGGGCGAAAGCCUGAUGCAGCAACGCCGCGUGAGCGAUGAAGGCCUUCGGGUCGUAAAGCUCUGUCCUCAAGGAAGAUAAUGACGGUACUUGAGGAAGAAGCCCCGGCUAACUACGUGCCAGCAGCCGCGGUAAUACGUAGGGGGCUAGCGUUCUCCGGAUUUACUGGGCGUAAAGGGUGCGUAGGUGGUUUCUUAAGUCAGGGGUGAAAGGCUACGGCUUAACCGUAGUAAGCUCUUGAAACUGGGAAACUUGAGUGCAGGAGAGGAAAGUGGAAUUCCUAGUGGAGCGGUGAAAUGCGUAGAUAUUAGGAGGAACACCAGUGGCGAAGGCGGCUUUCUGGACUGUAACUGACACUGAGGCACGAAAGCGUGGGGAGCAAACA
rnacentral:rRNA from 1 species